GAUGAACGCUGGCGGCGUGCCUAAUACAUGCAAGUCGAGCGAAUGGAUUAAGAGCUUGCUCUUAUGAAGUUAGCGGCGGACGGGUGAGUAACACGUGGGUAACCUGCCCAUAAGACUGGGAUAACUCCGGGAAACCGGGGCUAAUACCGGAUAACAUUUUGAACCGCAUGGUUCGAAAUUGAAAGGCGGCUUCGGCUGUCACUUAUGGAAGGACCCGCGUCGCAUUAGCUAGUUGGUGAGGUAACGGCUCACCAAGGCAACGAUGCGUAGCCGACAUGAGAGGGUGAUCGGCCACACUGGGACUGAGACACGGCCCAGACUCCUACGGGAGGCAGCAGUAGGGAAUCUUCCGCAAUGGACGAAAGUCUGACGGAGCAACGCCGCGUGAGUGAUGAAGGCUUUCGGGUCGUAAAACUCUGUUGUUAGGGAAGAACAAGUGCUAGUUGAAUAAGCUGGCACCUUGACGGUACCUAACCAGAAAGCCACGGCUAACUACGUGCCAGCCGCCGCGGUAA
rnacentral:rRNA from 1 species